rnacentral:rRNA from 1 species
UGGGGAAUAUUGCACAAUGGGCGCAAGCCUGAUGCAGCCAUGCCGCGUGUGUGAAGAAGGCCUUCGGGUUGUAAAGCACUUUCAGCGAGGAGGAAGGUGGUGAACUUAAUACGUUCAUCAAUUGACGUUACUCGCAGAAGAAGCACCGGCUAACUCCGUGCCAGCAGCCGCGGUAAUACGGAGGGUGCAAGCGUUAAUCGGAAUUACUGGGCGUAAAGCGCACGCAGGCGGUUUGUUAAGUCAGAUGUGAAAUCCCCGGGCUCAACCUGGGAACUGCAUUUGAAACUGGCAAGCUAGAGUCUCGUAGAGGGGGGUAGAAUUCCAGGUGUAGCGGUGAAAUGCGUAGAGAUCUGGAGGAAUACCGGUGGCGAAGGCGGCCCCCUGGACGAAGACUGACGCUCAGGUGCGAAAGCGUGGGGAGCAAAACAGGAUUAGAUACCCUGGUAGUCCACGCUGUAAACGAUGUCGAUUUUGGAGGUUGUGCCCUUGAGGCGUGGCUUCCGGAGCUAACGCGUUAAAUCGACCGCCUGGGGAGUACGGCCGCAAGGUUAAAACUC